UACGUAGGGUCCGAGCGUUGUCCGGAAUUACUGGGCGUAAAGAGCUCGUAGGUGGUUUGUCGCGUUGUUCGUGAAAACUCACAGCUUAACUGUGGGCGUGCGGGCGAUACGGGCAGACUGGAGUACUGCAGGGGAGACUGGAAUUCCUGGUGUAGCGGUGGAAUGCGCAGAUAUCAGGAGGAACACCGGUGGCGAAGGCGGGUCUCUGGGCCGAUAUUGACGCUGGAGGAGCGAAAGCGUGGGGAGCGAACAGG
rnacentral:rRNA from 1 species